AACCAUCUAUGGAAUUGGAGUGAAGUAAUGAAGGGGACCACGUUGCUUUCACAUUGCAAAGCAUGGUUUCCAUUCAAAAAAAAAUUGCCGAGAAGUUUGAUAGAAAUGGAAAGCCAUUUCAUGUUUUCUUUUAGUUUGGUGCAGAAUUUUUGAAGUGUUUUCCAAAAGGGAGCUCACGGCACACUACAAGAUGAAGGAGGCUAGCAUCACAAAGAUGGGUUUAUUUAUCUUGUUGUCCAGCCAUCACCCAGGGGAGCUCUCAGUUAUUCCAGCAACAGUCCAGCCACGUAGAGAAGCUUCACUCACGGCCUUGGUCUUGGAAGAAGCAACAUGUUGAAGCAUCAAGUUCAUUGGCUGGAAGAAAAGCACACAUGGAGCCACACCUUUAGCUUGGAACGUAAUUCUUGAGUGGAGGAGAAAACAACUAAUUAAUUUGGAGAGAUGCACAAAGAUACAUCUAGCUACCUCACGGUUUUUGUCAUGGCUUGGAGUGCAGAUUUUGUUGCUCUGUAUUCUUCCACUCCAUAAUGGUUUUUCAUUUUACAGUUGAUAAGCUAAUGGCAUCCAUCCACCAAGAAGUGAUAUUUUUCAAUUCCAAGGAAGAAGCUCACAGCUGGUCCAGCAGCAGCUAAACGGUCCAGCCUUCGUCCAAAUAAAAAGAACAAAGUCCAGCAGUUUGGGAGUGUAAGGACCUAGUAUUUUAUUUUAUGUUAUGUUUUUAUUUUAAUAUUAUUUUAGAAGGGGUGGGGGAAGCAAUUAGGAAGUCACGGGACUUGGUUUUAUUUGGAAGUGGGGAAAAAAGAAGUCCGUGACUUCUCUCUUGUUUUGGCACCAUGCAAGCUUGGAAGAUAAAAGGAGUUGAAGGGUUCUGCACUGGGAGAGUUUCUGCACUGGAAGGGGAAGAAUCCUUGCUACCUUGCUGCCAUUUUUGUAAGAGAAGGAGAAGUUCAAAGCUUGGUGGAAUUGCUUGGAACUGCAAGUUUUGGAAGAGUUAGAUUCAAAGAGUUCACAAAGUAAGUCUUCAAGAGGUGGGUUUCUGAGCGUUCGUUCAUAAAUAGUGGAUUAACGAACGUUGGUGAUAAGGAUUUGAGUAGAGAGCGUCUGUGUGCGCCUGUGAACGUUCGUCCAUUCCGGGGAGCAUGGAGGAAGGCAUGGAAUCUGCACAUCCAGCAACCACAAUCUCGGUUAGCAUGGAAUUGAAGAAGACAAGUUGGCAAAAUGGAGGGCCCUACCUACUUUCUUGGCACGGCUUGGAGGGGAAGAAAAUCAGGAAACUAUAGAGACAAAAGACAAAACAAUCAAGCUGAAUGAAGGAGAAAGAAGUCACGGGAGGAUGUUACUUUUGGCUAUAAAUUGGCAGUAGACAGAGAAGCAAAUCAUUACAUUUCAACAUGAGAUUUUAGAUUAGAUUUUAGCAUUAGAAGUUAGGAGAGAAUUUACGUUUCUGGCUUUGGUUUUCUUCUCCCCUCUCGGGGAGAUUUUGUGUUUCAUUUCAUUUUCCAGUUCCAUGUAUUGCAUUUCGUUGAUUACAAUUUCAAUUCUGCGUUUUAAUUCCAAUUCUGUUCUGCUAUAAAAAAAUUCAGUUGAGCAUUUUAA